UCAGAACGAACGCUGGCGGCGUGCUUAACACAUGCAAGUCGAACGCGAAAGGGACUUCGGUCCUGAGUAAAGUGGCGCACGGGUGAGUAACGCGUAGAUAACCUGUCUUCAUGUCUGGAAUAAUACGCCGAAAGGGGUACUAAUACCGGAUAUUCUUGCUUUUCAUAAGUUAUGCAAGCAAAGGUGGCCUCUGCAUAUGCUACUGCAUGAAGAGGGGUCUGCGUACCAUUAGCUAGUAGGUGGGGUAAUGGCCUACCUAGGCGACGAUGGUUAGCGGGUCUGAGGGGAUGAUCCGCCACACUGGCACUGGAACACGGGCCAGACUCCUACGGGAGGCAGCAGUGAGGAAUAUUGCGCAAUGGGGGAAACCCUGACGCAGCGACGCCGCGUGAGUGAGGAAGGCCUUCGGGUCGUAAAGCUCUGUCAAGAGGAAAGAAGUGUACAAUGGCUAAUACCUGUUGUAUUUGACGGUACCUCUAAAGGAAGCACCGGCUAACUCCGUGCCAGCCGCCGC
rnacentral:rRNA from 1 species